rnacentral:rRNA from 1 species
GACGAACGCUGGCGGCGUGCUUAACACAUGCAAGUCGAACGGAAAGGCCCUGCUUCUGUGGGGUGCUCGAGUGGCGAACGGGUGAGUAACACGUGAGUAACCUGCCCUUGACUUUGGGAUAACUUCAGGAAACUGGGGCUAAUACCGGAUAGGAGCUCCUGCUGCAUGGUGGGGGUUGGAAAGUUUCGGCGGUUGGGGAUGGACUCGCGGCUUAUCAGCUUGUUGGUGGGGGUAGUGGCUUACCAAGGCUUUGACGGGUAGCCGGCCUGAGAGGGUGACCGGCCACAUUGGGACUGAGAUACGGCCCAGACUCCUACGGGAGGCAGCAGUGGGGAAUAUUGCACAAUGGGCGGAAGCCUGAUGCAGCAACGCCGCGUGCGGGAUGACGGCCUUCGGGUUGUAAACCGCUUUCGCCUGUGACGAAGCGUGAGUGACGGUAAUGGGUAAAGAAGCACCGGCUAACUACGUG